CUAAUAAUUCUCUAGUGGCGCACGGGUGAGUAACACGUGAGUAACCUGCCCCCGAGAGCGGGAUAGCCCUGGGAAACUGGGAUUAAUACCGCAUAGUAUCGAAAGAUUAAAGCAGCAAUGCGCUUGGGGAUGGGCUCGCGGCCUAUUAGUUAGUUGGUGAGGUAACGGCUCACCAAGGCGAUGACGGGUAGCCGGUCUGAGAGGAUGUCCGGCCACACUGGAACUGAGACACGGUCCAAACUCCUACGGAAGGCAGCAG
rnacentral:rRNA from 1 species